UCCUUCUCCAUUUUUAGGUCAGGAUGUCCC
rnacentral:piRNA from 1 species